CUGGUUCUUAUGAUAGUAGCAGACCUAAAUGUCAUGCCAUUGGAUGCUAUGAUAUUGUAUUACAAAGAUAAUGGUCUAUAGCCCUUGCUAAAGAGCCAAUGUCUCACUAGAAGUCCAUGCACAUAGAAUAGAUAUACGCGAAUACCUCAAGUAGAAAUAUAUGGAGGUGAAGAGAGUAGACUCCACAUGAUAGUGGUAGGCCCAAGUCACUUAGCCAGCGAAACACUGAACCCUAUCUUCAGAAGAUGGGGCUCAGGUAUAUGGCAAAUUGAUUUUAGUGCAAAUAAAAAUUUGUUGGAUGUGUGUCCUAGAAUCCAAUCUUGGAUGACAUAUACUUUUUUCUAGGACAUAUUUUAUACUUAUUGGGCAGUCUUAAUAAUCAAUCAUGUUUAUGUAUCCAUAAUUUGUCCUAGAAAUUAACAAAGAUGAUUUUAUAUAUUUUCAAAGUGUUGAGAAUUUGAGACAUACAUCAUUAGUGGUUAAUUUCUAAAUACUUUCGAUCGAAAGAUCAUCACGAAGGAUAGUGAUCAAUCCAUUCGAGAUCGAUGCAUUGAUCACCUCCCUUUAGGGC
rnacentral:lncRNA from 1 species